rnacentral:rRNA from 1 species
AUUGAACGCUGGCGGCAUGCUUUACACAUGCAAGUCGAACGGGCUGGGGGCAACUCCAGUCAGUGGCGAACGGGUGAGUAAUACAUCGGAACGUACCUCGUAGUGGGGGAUAACUCGGCGAAAGCCGUGCUAAUACCGCAUAUGCUCUACGGAGGAAAGCAGGGGACCGCAAGGCCUUGUGCUAUGGGAGCGGCCGAUGUCCGAUUAGCUAGUUGGUGAGGUAAUGGCUCACCAAGGCGACGAUCGGUAGCUGGUCUGAGAGGAUGAUCAGCCACACUGGGACUGAGACACGGCCCAGACUCCUACGGGAGGCAGCAGUGGGGAAUUUUGGACAAUGGGGGCAACCCUGAUCCAGCCAUGCCGCGUGCGGGAAGAAGGCCU